rnacentral:rRNA from 1 species
GGGUCAGUAGGUUGGUCGUGCCACCGGUACGUACUGGUCUCACUGAUUCCUCCUUCCUGAAGAACCGUGAUGCCAUUAAUUUGGUGUUGCGGGGAAACAGGACUGUUACUUUGAAAAAAUUAGAGUGUUUAAAGCAAGCUAACGCUUGAAUACAUUAGCAUGGAAUAAUGAAAUAGGACGAUCGAUCCUAUUUUGUUGGUUUCUAGGAUUGACGCA